UGUGUACAGUUAUUCCUUGUGCUGCUUUUAUUGUCUUCUUCCAAGCCAAUCAGCCAGUUACUGGCAGAGUUAGCAAAUGAAUGAGACUAAAGUCAUUUCUUGAUAUGAGCACUGGAGCUUUUCUUAUGACAGUCUAGAAGGAAGGAAAGGGCAAAGAACGCCAAGGCAUUUCCAGGGGCUUGUCCAUUUGUUUGUUGUUGCUUUGUUCUGUUCUGUUGUGUUGGUUGUUCAUAGUUUCAAAAUAUAAAAAAAGGUUAGUUUUUGUUGAAGCUCUAGCUUAAAAGGAAACAGGUUGUUUUGUGUUGGUUUUUGUUUUUUGUUUUUGUUGUGUUUUUUUUUAAGGAAAAAAAGACUGUUUUAGGAUUUUUCCUUAUUAUUUACUGGUUCUACAAAAUAGAAACUACUUCCAUGCUAGGAAGCAGCUUAAUUUUAAUUGUAUAUUAUUCAAGCACCUUUGUUGAAGCUCAGAAAAAAAAAAUUAUGCCUCUUUAAACUUUAGCAAUUAUAGGAAUAUUUAUGUAAAUAUCUUAAGCUUCAAAAAAAACAAGAGUAUUUGUGUGCAUGUGUAUAUUUAUAUAUAUAUACAUAUAUAUUUAUACACAUACAAUUUAUGUUUUCCUGUUGAAUGUAUUUUUAUGAGAUUUUAACCAGAGCAAAGAUAGAUUAAAUAGGCAUUCCAUACCAAUGCUUUUAAUCACUUAUAAACUUUUAAAAAAACAAAGAAAAGAUCUCACUCUAACUACAGUUUAAUUUGAAAGUGAGGAGGGUGUGUGUGCUUGUGUGUAAAUAUAUAUAUAUAUAUAUAUAUAUAUAUAUAUAUAUAUAUAUAUACACACACAUUCACACAUGUAAGUGUGUUUGUGCACACAAGAAAGUAUGCAUGUGCACACAUUUUUAGCAGUCAGUCAUCAAUGCUCUUGCUAUGGAGAAGGGUGUUCUUUCACUUUUUUUCCUCCUUUGGUAUUGGUUUUCAUUGUACUCAUUGGCUAGAGACACUGAUGGCAAUUUACAUGCAGCACUAAUCAGCUCCUGGAUUUUUUUUCUUCAAACAAUUGUUUGAAACAACUACUGGAAUAUUGUCCACAGUAAGCUGGAAGUUUGUUGUAGUUUGCCUCAAUUAUAACUCUGACUGUAUACUAUAGUGUUAAUUUUUCAAACAGCUCUUAGCACUUUUAUAUUAAUUACCCAUUUGUGCAUUGACUUUUCUUUUACAAAUGCUUAUUGUGAAAGACACAGAUACCCAGUAUGCUUAAUGUGAAAAGAAAAUGUGUUCUGUUUUGUAAAGGAACUUUCAAGUAUUGUUGUAAAUACUUGAACAGAGGUUGCUGAACUUUAAAACAAAUAAUUAAUUUAUUAUUAUAAUGACCUAAUUUAUUAAUCUGAAGAAUAACCAUUUUUUGUUUUAGAAUAUCAAAAAGGUGUUCUAGCUGUUUGCAUCAAAGAAAAAAAGAUUUAUUAUCAAGGGGCAAUAUUUUUUUCUGUUUCCAAAACAAAAUUUGUUAGAAAUAUGAUAUUACAGAAACAGAUUUACAUCUGCCUAAUUACUACAAAUUUUGUUGACAAUUAAUCCAUUCCUGGCAUUUAAAAAAAAUUUUAUCCAAAAAUUGUAAAUGCUUGCUUUUGUUUUACAAUCACGGUCAUAUUCUGAAAAUACUAACAGGAUAUAGGACAUGGUGUAAAUUUUGUUAUUAUUAUUUUUAAAGAUAUGAUUUAUCCUGAGUGCUGUAUCAUUACUCUUUUACUUUUUGGUUCCUGUUGUGCUCUUGUAAAAAAAGAAAUACAAAUAAGAUUUCCUGAAAAAUAAAAUAGAUAUG
ensembl:lncRNA